CCUACGGGAGGCAGCAGUAGGGAAUCUUUGACAAUGGGCGAAAGCCUGAAGGAGCAACGUCGCGUGCAGGAUGAAGGCCCUCGGGUUGUAAACUGUCUUUAUAAGCGAGAAAUAUGAUGGUAACUUAUGAAUAAGGAUCGGCUAACUACGUGCCAGCAGCGGCGGUCAUACGUAGGAGCCGAGCAUUAUCCGGAGUGACUGGGUGUAAAGAGUUGUGUAGGUGGCAUAAUAAGUAGCGAGUGAAAUCUGGUGGCUCAACCAUUCAGACUAUUAGCUAAACUGUUAAGCUCGAGACCGUUAGGGGUAACUGGAAUUUCUGGUGUAGGAGUGAAAUCCGUAGAUAUUAGAAGGAACACCAAUAGCGUAGGCAGGUUGCUGGGACGGUUCUGACACUAAGGCACGAAAGCGUAGGGAGCAAACGGGAUUAGAUACCCCGGUAGUC
rnacentral:rRNA from 1 species